rnacentral:rRNA from 1 species
GCGGUAAUUCAAGCUCCAAUAGCGUAUAUGUAAAUUGUUGCGGUUGAAAAGCUCGUAGUUGGACUUCUGGCGUCCGCGUUCGGUCCGCCACGCGCGAGCACUGUCCGCGGUCGUCGUUUCUGUCGACGUGGCGCCUCGGACUUCACUGGCCGGAGCGUCGUCUGUCGGCGAUGUUACUUUGAGGAAAUCAGAGUGCUCAAAGCAAGCGUUCGCUCGUGACUUCACUAGCAUGGAAUAACACAGAUGGGCUCUUUCUCGCACUGUUGGUCUGCGUCAAUUGAGCAACGAUCGAUAGAGACGGUCGGGGGCAUUCGUAUUGCGCAGUUAGAGGUGAAAUUCUCCGAUCUGCGCAAGACGUACUAAUGCGAAAGCAGUUGCCAAGGACGUCCUCUUAUGAUCAAGAGCGAAAGUCGGGGGAUCAAAGAUGAUUAGAUACCGUCGUAGUCCCGACCAUAAAUGAUGCCGACUGAGCUUCGGCGAUUCGACCACAGGUCGUGCGUCGGCGCUCUUAGAGAAAUUAAAGUCUUUGGGCUCCGGGGGUAGUAUGGUCGCAAGUCUGAAACUUGAAGGAAUUGACGGAAGGGCACCACAAGGCGUGGAUGUUGCGGCUUAAUUUGACUCAACACGGGAAAGCUUACUAGGUUUGGACACCUUUGUGAUGGACAGAUUGAAGCUCUUACCCUACUGCGUGGAUGGUGGUGCAUGGUCGUUCUCAGCCCGUGGGUUGACCUGUCAGGUUUACUCCGGUAACGCGCGAGACCUCGGUCUGCUAAAUAGACGCGGCUGUUUCGGCACCCGCGCUCUUCUUAGAGAGAGACUCGACGAGAGUCGAGGGAAGUCGAGGCAAUAACAGAUCUGUGAUGCCCUUAGUUAUCCUAGGUCGCACGCGCCAUACAAUGUGGCGCACAACGAGUCUCCUUGGCCGACAGGAUCUGGGCAAUCUGGCAGAGCGCUACGUGACUGGGCUAGACUUUUGUAAUUUUUGGUCUUGAACGAGGAAUGCCUAGUAAUCGCAGGUCAGCAUCCUGCGAUGAUUCGGUCCCUGCCCUUUGUACACACCGCCCGUCGCUCCAUCCGUGGCAUGCGCCGGUGAAGAGGGGGAGGCAGCGUCGGCCGGGUAACACCGGAUCGUACGUGGAACCCCUCUGAACCUUCGCACGUAGAGGAAGGAGAAGUCGUAACAAGGUUUUCGUAGGUGAACCUGCGAAAGGAUCAUUAUCGGCACA